GGUGUGUGGCUGGUGGGGCCACAGGCUGGGGCUCAGGAGUUCUGGGGGGCUGAUAGGCUCCUGUGGGCUAGGGCUACAGGGCGUCAGGGACACGCAUGAGUUCAGGCACCUGUGAACAGAAAAAAGGAAAAAACGUCCUUCUUGUUGAGGAAGAGCACAAUGGACGUCGUGGCGAAGUAGCGGUGGUUGCAGAUGCUGUUGAACAGGUGCAGGCUCUCGUGCAUGCGGUUCUGAGGAGCGUGGCCGCUGGCUGUCUUGUGUCCUCAUUCGGACUGUUCUGGAACGAAUGUCCGCUCUCAGACGCUCCCCGCUCCCGCAGUACUGUCUCCAGCUUUCCCCUGAAACACUCCAGGCCCUGCUUGGCACCCACCACUUCGUCG